UACGUAGGGUGCAAGCGUUGUCCGGAAUUAUUGGGCGUAAAGAGCUCGUAGGCGGUUUGUUGCGUCGGCUGUGAAAUCCCGAGGCUCAACCUCGGGUCUGCAGUCGAUACGAGCAAACUAGAGUGUUGCAGGGGAGACUGGAAUUCCUGGUGUAGCGGUGAAAUGCGCAGAUAUCGGAAGGAACACCAGUGGCGAAAGCGGCUUCCUGGUCCAGCAUCGACGUUCAGGCACGAAAGCGUGGGGAGCAAACAGG
rnacentral:rRNA from 1 species